UACAGAGGGUGCGAGCGUUACUCGGAAUUACUGGGCGUAAAGCGUGCGUAGAUGGUUAUGUAAGUCGGAUGUGAAAGCCCAGGGCUCAACCUUGGAAUUGCAUUCGAGACUGCAUAGCUAGGAUGCGGAAGAGGGAAGCGGAAUUUCCGGUGUAGCGGUGAAAUGCGUAGAUAUCGGAAGGAACACCAGUGGCGAAAGCGGCUUCCUGGUCCAGCAUCGACGUUCAGGCACGAAAGCGUGGGGAGCAAACAGG
rnacentral:rRNA from 1 species